UACGUAGGGGUCGAGCGUUGUUCGGAUUCACUGGGCGUAAAGGGUGCGCAGGUGGGCUGGCAAGUUCGAUGUGAAAGCCCCGGGCUUAACCCGGGAAUGGCAUUGGAUACUGCUGGUCUGGAGGAUUGGAGGGGGGACUGGAAUUCUUGGUGUAGCAGUGAAAUGCGUAGAUAUCAAGAGGAACACCAGUGGCGAAGGCGAGUCCCUGGACAAUUCCUGACACUGAGGCACGAAAGCCAAGGGAGCAAACAGG
rnacentral:rRNA from 1 species